UGGCUCCGGAGAUGUUAGUUUCACAAGCUUCCCAGGUGAUGCAUAACAUCAGACAAAGUUGGUAAACUGCAAACAUCUCUUGUCAUUACUUCCCCGGGAAGCAGGUGGUGGCAAAGUAUGAGAGGCAAGGGAUUUCCAGUUGGGGAGAUCAUGGCCAGAACAGCAUGGGCAGUUGCUCAGCAAAUGCCCACCUCAAAAUAUUUUAUUUCAUUGCCACAUAAAUAAAAGGUCAUCUGGCUUAGAGAUGGACAGGCAGAAGUGUUGUGAGGCCUCCAGAGGGACCCCGCUUAACCUUACAGGACAUGCUGGACAAGGCAGACAUCCAUGGGGACAAGCUGAGGACAGGAUGUAGGAGAAGGAAAACAAACUGGGGUGACAUUCAUGAUGGCAAGUGGGGGAGGGGGGUUGAGUGGUGAGGAUGAAGAAAAUUAUCCUAUCUUCCUUCCUUAAUCUGUCCAGCCUUUGGUAAUGUGCUGUUGACUACAUACUUACCAGGUCCAAAACCUGUCUUGCUGUUUUGCAGGCAUCCCAGUCUACAUCACCUACAAGAGGAAGUAACAAGGUUCUCUCUGAUGAGUCAUUUAUGGGAUGUAUUCAGACCUGACUUCUCAUCAUCCUUAUCACAGAACCUGACUCAUGUGCUAAUUAGGUGCUAAUCAAAUGUUUAUUGAAUAGAUGAAAGAAAAUGUGAUCUUGCUAUUUUAAAGGCUUUCAUGUGUUCUGUUGUUAAAAUAGAAACAAAAAUUGAAAAAAAAAACCAUUUUACUCAAUUCAUAACAAACUGGUUUAAAAUAGAAACUGCAAACCAACUUUGGCUAAAAGGAUCCUAGUAUAUUCUGAACAGCUGCUGUUGUAGACACAGCCUGAAAUAAAUAACUUCCAGCAUAGUCCCAAAUUUGCGUUGAGUAAACGGUGCAAAU